GGGUGCUUAGCUCAAUGGUAGAGCAGUAGCCUCUUAAGCUAUUGGUUCCGGGUUCGAGCCCCGGAGCACCCACCA
rnacentral:tRNA from 1 species